GCCCGGGUGGUGAAAUUGGUAGACACAAGAGACUUAAAAUCUCUCGGCCUCUGGCUAUACGGGUUCGACCCCCGUCCCGGGCACCA
rnacentral:tRNA from 1 species